CACGAAUUCGUUUGAGUUAACUGUCUUCUAAGGUAAUGUAGCAUAAGUAUCAUUUGAAAGUCAGUUAGGGGUGAUAGGCCGCCAAAUGCGAGGAUAUCUUGAUGUAGGUGAAAAGUAUUUAGUACAUAUACAGCCAGGUGGUUAUAAGAUCUCCUGGGCGGUUUAAAGUUUAUUAAUCAUAAAUGUUGAUAUAGAAAUCUGCAUAUUUAAUUAAUUAAUAUUUAAAUAGUAUGGUUUACUUAAUUAGCCUACGUUCGAAUAAUUUUGAGAUGAGUCAUUAUGUUAAUAUGAGUAUUAUAUAGGUGUUCAUAGUGAACUCGGCAAUAAAGUUUUCAACUGUUUAUCAAAAACAUAGCCUUAUGUUACAUAUAAGGUGACUCCUGCUCAAUGAUGUUUAAAUAGCCGCAGUACUCUGACUGUGCAAAGGUAGCGCAAUCAAUUGGCUCUUAAUUGGAGUCGUGUAUGAAGGGACGUAUGGGGGCUUGCUUUACCAUGGGUAUUAAUUAAAAAUUACUUAGGGGGUGAAAAUUCCCUCAUAGUAACAAUAGACGAGAAGACCCUUGAAAUUUGUGGUGACGUUUUGUUGGGGCAACAUUGUAGUGGAAACCUACAUGAUUUAUAUGAAAUAUAAUUGAUCGAAUAAAUUACUCAAGGGAUAACAGCGUAAUUUAUAAAUGUUUGCGACCUCGAUGUUGGAUUAGGAAACUAUAGCUUAGAA
rnacentral:rRNA from 1 species